UACGAAGGGGGCUAGCGUUGCUCGGAAUCACUGGGCGUAAAGGGUGCGUAGGCGGCUCGGUAAGUCAGGUGUGAAAACUCUAGGCUCAACCUAGAGACGCCACCUGAUACUGCCGUGGCUAGAGUCCGGUAGGGGAGCAUGGAAUUCCUGGUGUAGCGGUGAAAUGCGCAGAUAUCAGGAGGAACACCAGUGGCGAAGGCGGUGCUCUGGGCCGGAACUGACGCUGAGGAGCGAAAGCGUGGGGAGCAAACAGG
rnacentral:rRNA from 1 species